AUUGAACGCUGGCGGCAGGCCUAACACAUGCAAGUCGAGCGGAUGAAGGGAGCUUGCUCCUGGAUUCAGCGGCGGACGGGUGAGUAAUGCCUAGGAAUCUGCCUGGUAGUGGGGGAUAACGUCCGGAAACGGGCGCUAAUACCGCAUACGUCCUGAGGGAGAAAGUGGGGGAUCUUCGGACCUCACGCUAUCAGAUGAGCCUAGGUCGGAUUAGCUAGUUGGUGGGGUAAAGGCCUACCAAGGCGACGAUCCGUAACUGGUCUGAGAGGAUGAUCAGUCACACUGGAACUGAGACACGGUCCAGACUCCUACGGGAGGCAGCAGUGGGGAAUAUUAGACGAUGGGCGAAAGCCUGAUCCAGCCAUGCCGCGUGUGUGAAGAAGGUCUUCGGAUUGUAAAGCACUUUAAGUUGGGAGGAAGGGCAGUAAGUUAAUACCUUGCUGUUUUGACGUUACCAACAGAAUAAGCACCGGCUAACUUCGUG
rnacentral:rRNA from 1 species